UAGCAGAACCCCGAGUGGUAGUCGUUAUUAUUGGGCUUAAAGUGUUCGUAGCCGGCCGUGUAAGUCCGCUGUGAAAUCCAGGCGCUUAACGUCUGGGCGUGCAGCGGAUACUGCACUGGCUUGGGACCGGACGGUGUCGAGGCUAUUCCAAGAGUAGGGGUGAAAUCCUAAAAUUCCUGGAGGAGCGCCUGUGGCGGAAGCGCUCGACAAGUACGGAUCCGACGGUGAGGAACGAAAGCCAGGGGAGCAA
rnacentral:rRNA from 1 species